GGAGACAGACGAGAGGAGAGGAGAGAAGAGAAUCCCCCACCACCCAGCAGCAAAGCAAAGCGACCCGCCCUCGGAACGACAGACGUUGCGUCGUCGCCACCAACAUCUUCACCGAAUAUCCAUCCACCCGCCAGCCACCACUAUUAAAACCAACCGCCCGCCCCGUGUUAUCCGGUUUCCCGUUCCAGCACGAGCAAUACUCCUGCUGUUUAUAAGCCCCAUGGGAUAGACAGAUACUAGAUAGAUAUUUGGGAAGGAANNNNN
rnacentral:lncRNA from 1 species